GAAAGGCGAAAAGAACCCCGGCGAGGGGAGUGAAAAAGAACCUGAAACCGUGUACGUACAAGCAGUGGGAGCACCUUCGGGUGUGACUGCGUACCUUUUGUAUAAUGGGUCAGCGACUUAUAUUCUGUAGCAAGGUUAACCGUAUAGGGGAGCCGCAGGGAAACCGAGUCUUAACUGGGCGUUAAGUUGCAGGGUAUAGACCCGAAACCCGGUGAUCUAGCCAUGGGCAGGUUGAAGGUUGGGUAACACUAACUGGAGGACCGAACCGACUAAUGUUGAAAAAUUAGCGGAUGACUUGUGGCUGGGGGUGAAAGGCCAAUCAAACCGGGAGAUAGCUGGUUCUCCCCGAAAGCU
rnacentral:rRNA from 1 species